CCUGGCGCCCGGAGCCGGGUCCCCGCUUACCCGUUCUCCCCGUGACCUCUUUCCCCGAGGGAGGCCCAAACUCAACCAACCAUCAUUCCUCGGCCCCGGACACUUACCGCAGCUUCAGUCCGGGGAAUGAUUGAGCAGAUGACACCAGACUUGGAGGCCCGACUCUGCACGGGGAGCCUACGGAAUGCCCGGAGUUAACUUCAGGAAGCCCUGGAGGGUCCUCACGCUGGCGCUGCGUCAGCCUCGCCUCAAGGGCUGUUACCCCCCCGGAUUCCCGGGCCCCGCCCCAGGGUUUCUGACUCGGGGGGUCCGGCGUGGGCUUGGGAAUUCCCACGUCCGGCCAGUUCCAGGAGGGACAGCCAGCGCCCUCCGGGAACCCCGACUCAGCCCAGCCCCAUCACCAUGUCCGCAGUCCAAUCCACUGUCCUCCUCUGUGCUCUCACAAAUCACCCACUCCUGGAGCCUGAGGUCUUCAGCCAUUUAUUAAACAAUCGUGUGCCAGGUGCUGCUCGGGGCAACGGGGACUCAGCAGUGAAGAGAAGAGACAAAAAAUUCUGCCUUCCUGGCAGAGACAGGACAAGGAAGGAUGCAAUGACAGGCAACGCUCAAACUGGAGAUUAAUUAGAACUCAGCCUCCUGCCUCUUCCUAACGCAUCUGUUAGCUCUGUCCUCACCAAGUGGGGUUGUGGUGUCCCACGCGAGACACUGGAGAAGUCCACGGCGUCCCUGCUCUGGGGAGGGAAGAAACAGCAAUUAUUCCUUUGAAUUCUAUUGGGUGAAAUGCAUUUUUUCCCUCCCCCCCCACAAAACGACAGAAUCAUUUCCUAAUAAAAUGUCCCCUAGGCCAGACGGUGCUGCUGGAACACAGUUUUUAAUAUGCAGUGGUCCGGAACCUGACAGGCCUUGGCAGAGAGGGCGCCCCUGUUUUAAAAAGCUGAAUGUGGCUGACAGUGACAUCACUGCUGCCUGUGUCUGUUAGAGUCAGCGCAAGGUUAGACAAGUACACUCCCACAGGCGCCAAACGGCGGCCUCCAAACGCACGUCAGCGGUGUGCUUGCAGCCAAAUCCAGGAGGAGCUGCUGCUUCUCAUGCUGCUCCCAUUAGUGAGACAAAUGCCAGCAUCUAGAAGCCAUGUUUUUGCUCCUGCUUAUCAAAUCUUUCAAAACAUUGAUAACUCGUCUUUAUAGAUUGUGAAAGUCAGAUAUAACUCUGAAUGCAUGACUUUACUGGAGCCCUCGGGGUAAACUUAUCACCUGGAAGCCAUUUUACAGGGACGAUUUGACUUUCAUGUGGAGUGGCGUAGUACACCCCGGAUGGAAAUCUAAAAUAAAAUAUCUGGACUACAACCUUCGUCUUGGUGGAAUUUAUGAUUCCCUUAGUACAAUAAUUUUGAAAAUUGUAUCCCUUAAGCUACAAGACUUGAUAUAUUAUUAACUGCUUGAACUGAAGAAGCUUUCCAAUAGGCUUACGUGCUGUCUAGAGGCACGGAUUAAUUUCUGUGGAACUACCAGCUUAUCUCAAAACUGUUUUUCAGCAGUCUAAACUGCCAGCUUCAUCUCCCGUCCAGGACAGGUCGGAGUGCCUGUUUCCUGUCUGGCAGCUCUUGGGCGCUGCUUUUAGCAAAGCUCUUCCAGCAGAUGAUGGCCAUUGAUCCACCAGAGAAUUGGUUGUGUUCAGUCAAUUACCCCCCAGAGAAACCUGCCUCCACUGGGGACUCUUAUCUUUCUAUUUCUGGGGCAUUUUCUGGUUUUAAUUCUACUCUGACAGGACUGAACUGGUGUACUGAGCAUGCUAGUGGGACGGGGCCUGCGGGGUAUUGUUUCUGGGAGUCAGAGAAUAGCCUUUUUUUAAAAUAGCUUUAAGCGGUUGUGUUGCCAGAGGGAAACUGUUCAGCUGUCUUCUGCUUUCACACCCCUCUUCCCUCAUCCCAGACACCGCGCCUUGGAAGUCAGCCCUGAUGGGGUAGGUAUGUAAGACCCACUGGCCUAUCCAAAGGCAGAGAGGGCUGGAAACCUCUCCUCGGCGCUCUUCUAAUAAGAUUCUUCCCCUUCACCCACAUCAAAGCUGAGUUGGGAACACAUUUAAUUAUCUGCUUACGGUCAAUUCUGUAUGUAUUAAAGAUAAUGCUAACCAUCCCCUGAUGUAGGGACAGCAUCUCUAAACACUAUUUCUGGGGACACAAAAGAGGAGAACUCAAGGAGCACAUUGCAGCAGAAACUGAUGUGUCCUGUGGCCCUAGAUGCCAGGAAAUGUGGACGUGUUUAGGGUUAGUUGCUCCACAAGAAAACUUGCAGUUCCGUGAAACUUCACAGCCCAUGUAUGAAAGAGAGGUUCUCCUCAGCUUGACAACAAUCCUAAAACUUUACAUGACAUUACAUAUAGCAAGUUGUGAAGAUGAAAUAAACUUUUCAAAACUAUCACUAAUAAAAAACAAAUUUUCAUCAACCACAUUAAAGGGUAAAUUGAACAGGUGGCCAGUCGUGGGGAAAGUGUCACAGAGGUGUAGCCAGUAGGUUAGUUUUGCGGCUUUUGUGAGGCUUGUAAUGUGUUGUGACUUCCCUCUUUUUCAAAUUUAUAAUUUGUUGUUUUGUCUCUGCCUAAAUAAAUACUCACUUUGUACUCAGCUGUGUAUCAGUAAUUUUUUUCUUCCUUAAACAGAGUCCUCCAAAUUGAGUAAGCCUCAGGCCUCACAGUACCUGGA